UCGGGUAUAGUACAAUGGUUAGUAUAUGAGUCUUUCACAUUCAAGAUCGGGGUUCGAUUCCCCGUACCCGAG